rnacentral:rRNA from 1 species
AGAGUUUGAUCAUGGCUCAGAUUGAACGCUGGCGGCAGGCUUAACACAUGCAAGUCGAGCGGGGAAAGGUAGCUUGCUACCUGACCUAGCGGCGGACGGGUGAGUAAUGCUUAGGAAUCUGCCUAUUAGUGGGGGGCAACAUCUCGAAAGGGAUGCUAAUACCGCAUACGUCCUACGGGAGAAAGCAGGGGACCUUCGGGCCUUGCGCUAAUAGAUGAGCCUAAGUCGGAUUAGCUAGUUGGUGGGGUAAAGGCCUACCAAGGCGACGAUCUGUAGCGGGUCUGAGAGGAUGAUCCGACACACUGGGACUGAGACACGGCCCAGACUCCUACGGGAGGCAGCAGUGGGGAAUAUUGGACAAUGGGGGGAACCCUGAUCCAGCCAUGCCGCGUGUGUGAAGAAGGCCUUUUGGUUGUAAAGCACUUUAAGCGAGGAGGAGGCUACCGAGAUUAAUACUCUUGGAUAGUGGACGUAGUCACA